CCUUCCAUAAAAGGAUUUUGCUUUCUUUAUGCUUAUUUCAAAGGAUAUGUUGUGAACAUAAUCCCACCCACAGUUUCAUUUAAGUUUCCGUGUUAGCAAUAGUAUGAAAGAGAGGAGCUGAUGAAGAGCUGAGUUUUGAAUAACUUCAGAAAAAUGAGUGGAAUUAGUUUUUGUUUGUUUGCAUUAUAGCAAUGGUGCAGGUAGUCUUUGAUGGAGUAGGAAGAGAAAGUCAGUCUGCUUGUAUAAGCAAAUGUGCACUGAGUUCAGUGGAACAUAUAGGUCGUUCAGCUGGAGACUGUUAAAAGCCAUCCCAAAACAGACUUUCUUCACCAUGUGAACCAGUGGAUAUUGAGAGAAAUGUCCACAGGUUCUGCCAGGAGCCUGCUCUGAGCUUCUUAAGGGGUCACAGCCUCCUUUGGGCACAUCUGUAUGGUCUGGCAUGGGGCCCUUCCUGUGCUGCAGAGAUCCUUCUGCUUCUGUCAGAUGUUGAGAUCAAUUCUGUGCAUGCUGGGAAAGCAAGGUAUUGGAACUGCGAUCUGCUGUUGUGUCUGAAACAAGAAUUUUGCCUCAACUGGAGAACUUGUUAGUGCCGGUGCAGGAGAACAGAUAAGUAGUGAUCAUCCUGAAGAUAAGCAGCCAAGAACAAAUGAAUACCAGCUUGGACAGAGACCUAAGACUGAUUCUAUGAUCCUCUGGAUUUCAAGGAAUGACUGUGAAUUCUUCGUUAACCUUGAGAAAGGUGGGAACUUGAAUCACCCGGAGUCCUUUGAGUGGCCUCUCAUUUCCACUUGCUAUAAAUUAGAAGGUUUUUUUGGGAAAAAAAAAGUCACUUGAUUUCUGUAUGUGUCUUCAAACAUAUAUGAUUUUAUAUAAUUAUCAAGUUUUACCAUUGUUUUCAUUUCUUCGGCAUGAAACUCUAACCAAAUGGUUUGCUUGGAAAGCUUGUCAUUAAACAUGGAAGCAUAAAUAGAUAUGGAACAGACUCGUGGUAUUUUGGGUCUGCAGGUCCUCUAGAACGUUUUCUGCAUUUCAUAAUCCUUUAAACUGGUGAAACGUGCCAAGUCUUUUCCCCCUUAAUUUAAUUUUCUUGCUCAGCCAGUGUAUUUGUAACCGGAUGGAAGCAUGUGUUCUUUAAAUAAUGACUCCUGUCUGAAAGUAAUUUCUGCCCUGUUUGUGGAAGAACUGUGCACACAAAAACAAAACCUGUGGCAGCUUAAGAUUUCUAUUUGAAAUCCUGAAUGGAAUAAAGUAAGU